UGAAAAAUUCAGCUCAAGCCCACUUCCUCCAGGAAGCUUCCCUUUUCCUGCACAGAACUCAUUACACCAUUCUCUUGACCAUUUCUUUCUUGAUGUUUUACACUGAGGCUGAAGGUCAGCUUUCUUCUGUCACUCUCUGGUCUCUCUACCCUCUCCAUUCUCUUUCUGAAUUAGACUCUUCAGUAUGCCAUCAUGUUCAUCAGUAAAUGGUGAAGACAUUGUAUAAGCUUCCCAAGGGCAGUUGGUGUUGCCACAACAUAGUGACAUCACAGAGGAUUCCAGGGCUCUCCAGGAUACAGUAGAAUGUCCAGGAAAGAGCUGCAGAUGUCAUGAGAACUGACAUUGCUUCCCUGCUAAUGAGCUUUCAUCAUAAUACACCAGAAGUCAAGCUGACCUUUAAAGGAGCCUCUGCCGGGAUACAAGGGAAGCCCUUCAGCGCCCCCUUCAUCCAAAGCUAGAGAUCUCUCCCCGCUUGAUUGGACAUCCUUUAGUUCUUUCCAUGUGUGGAACUGAAUGUUUAUCUCCUACUGAAAUGUUAUGUACAGAAGGUUUGCACUUUGCUGACAGACACAUCCAAGCAUCAAUUGUUAAUGAUAUCUGCUCCAUGUGACUAUGAGCCCUGAACUUCAUGAAAGCUGAUAUAAAAUAAUCCAACUGAAGCAAAUGCUGUUUCUUCAGCUGGUCAAUGAACCAGAGGUUUCUAAAUUGCCUCCUUACCUUUGACUAACAUUUUAGCCUUCCAAGGCCCUGAUAAUAAUGUGCCAAUGUCAGCAGGAAGUAAUUACAGAAGCCAAAACACUGUUUUCCAAGCGUGCCUCUGCCAAGGUGGAUGCAACACUGGAAAAGGCCAUGGGAAAGGAGAAAGGAUCACACAGAAGAGUGCAAACAAAAGGGAAGAGGAAAAUAAAGGCAACAGGCUAAAGUGGCUGACCAACAACUACAGAUCUGCCAGUGGAAAGUGGAGACACUGAAAAACAGAGUCCAGUCUCUCAAGUAAAAGAGAAAAGCCAAGUCUGACUAACCAUCCAUCAUGUCUGUCAUUAACCCUGCCUUGCUUCUUGUACAAUCCAGAGGAAUAUUUUAACCAACUAUUUGAAAAUGCAAGGUGAAUGCACUCAAGGACAUGGAAAUACAGGUAGAUGUGACAAAUCUGAUGUAGGUGCUGGGAAUCAAACUUGGGUAACCAAGAGGACCAGUACUACUGAGCCAACUCUUCAGGUCCCAAAUAUGUCAAUAUAAUUUUGAUGAUGAAGAUGUCCUACUGCUCUUUCUGUCUGCUGUGACUUGAAGGUGAAGAAAGUCCCCUCUAAAUGGUUGU